ACGUAGGGUGCGAGCGUUAAUCGGAAUUACUGGGCGUAAAGCGCGCGCAGGCGGUCGGAUAAGGCGGGUGUGAAAGCCCUGGGCUUAACCUGGGAACUGCAUUCGAUACUGUCUGGCUAGAGUAUGGGAGAGGGAAGCGGAAUUUCCGGUGUAGCGGUGAAAUGCGUAGAUAUCGGAAGGAACAUCAGUGGCGAAGGCAGCUUCCUGGGCCAAUACUGACGCUCAGGUGCGAAAGCGUGGGGAUCAAACAG
rnacentral:rRNA from 1 species